AUACGUAGGGUGCAAGCGUUAAUCGGAAUUACUGGGCGUAAAGCGUGCGCAGGCGGUUUUGUAAGACGGUGGUGAAAUCCCCGGGCUCAACCUGGGAACUGCCAUUGUGACUGCAAGGCUGGAGUGCGGCAGAGGGGGGUGGAAUUCCGCGUGUAGCAGUGAAAUGCGUAGAUAUGCGGAGGAACACCGAUGGCGAAGGCAAUCCCCUGGGCCUGCACUGACGCUCAUGCACGAAAGCGGGGGGAGCAAACAGGAUUAGAUACCCUGGUAGUCCACGCCCUAAACGAUGUCAACUGGUUGUUGGGGAUUUAUUUUCUCAGUAACGAAGCUAACGCGUGAAGUUGACCGCCUGGGGAGUACGGCCGCAAGGUUAAAACUCAAAUGAAUUGACGGGG
rnacentral:rRNA from 1 species